rnacentral:lncRNA from 1 species
GCAGACCACGUUAGAACCUCGGCUCCUGGAGUAGCAGAACCUCGGCUUCAAUGGGACCCUCAUUUCAUAAAUGAAGAAACUGAGAUUCAAAGAGGGGAACUACCGAAGGUUACAGAGCGAGUUCGUGGAUGGGGAAACUGAGCCUCACAUGUAUGAAUUCCAGCAUAUAAGCAACAGACUCCAGAUUUGGACAUGUAUAUCUUAUUCCAGGCUUCCCAGAUGACCACCAAGGUGGAAGGGAUGAUGAUGUCCAGGCAGAAGGGAGCUAGGCCGGCCCAGGCUUUUCCUCUAGGCACAGCGGACUCCAGGUUCAGCCUUCCCGGAUGGUAAUGUUGCAUUCUGAAGAGCUACUUUCCCGCCAACUCAUCUCUGGACUUCUCUGGGGCCCAACUCUGGUUUCCUGCCUGCAGGAGGUCCCCUCUGACUUCCGACAGUAGAUGACCCUUCUGACUCACAGUUCUACUGCUGGGAAAUGCCUCCAGAGCUGCUGCCCACCCUCUCUGCAUCCCUCCAGGUCACUGGGUGUUGAGUCAGGGGAAGCAGGGAUACACACGGGCGGGAAACUCAGGUCUCCUAAAUGUCAGAGCCUCAGGACUUCGGCUACUCAGAAGUAGCUCCCUCCUGGGCCACCAGGGAGCAGCAGGGCAGCCAGCAUCCAGACAUCCCCCCUGGGUUCUGCUGCUCAGAGGCUAGAUGGAGAACCAAGGUGGGAAAAAGGCUUAAACCACAGCGUGGGGAGAUUUAGGUUAGAUGGGUCAGAGGAAGUUUAGGACAAGCCUUGCCCUUUUCAGUUUCUGUCCAGCUUCAGCACAGCCACUGCUUCCUCUCUUUGGUUUUUACCCAUCCCCCUCUCUCCCAUCACCUCUAUCCCCUUCCAGCUUUCCUUUCCUUCCCUCCUUCCCAAACCCCAGAGUUUCUCAGGAUUAGCUGCCCGUGUGCCUAUCUCCCCCACCCCCAUGCUUUCCUCACUGUCUCACAGAAACAGGCAAACACACACACAUGCAUACAACCAUGAGCUGGCCCUGAGAGUUCUCUGACUGGACUGGGGUUGGAGCCCCAGCUCUUGUCCUGAGCUGAGGCCCUUCCCCCAGGUAUCUUGGGGCUUCCAUCAUUUCUCUUGACAGGAGCUGUGGGCGUCUGGGCAGAUGGGAACCUGGGGGAGGUGUGGGGAGCCCUCUCUGAGGCAGGAAGCUCCCACGCUACUGUAGUUAAAAUAAUCCGGCAGCAACUUGGGGCAGCCAUCUGGGAUGCCCAGAUCUUCCAGGACACCCAGCUCUCAACAACAACCCUAUAGGAACAAAUCAAAAACCUAAGAGAUACUUAUAGGCCCUGGAAAUGUCUCCCAAAAGUGGCCUGAACUUGAGCCCUGUUUCCUUUUAUCUUCUUCAGGUUAGCACUGGGCAUUGGCAUUUGCAAAAAAACUCUAAGCAUUAAGCAAAACUUGUAGGAGUGGAAGAUACAGCGUUCUGGACCUCCAGUCCUAAUACCCAGCCACACCCCAGCAGCUAUGCAUGGUUCCAUGGGAGAGCAGGCAUAGCCCAUCCUGCUGGCAUAUAGUCCAGCCAUAUCUUCCAAUGCCCACCUGGAGACUAAGCCGAGUUCUGCCCAGCAACAGGAGCUCAGAGCUCCAGAGAGCCUCUCCUGGGGUGCAGACUCAGGAGAUCUUAGCUCAGGAGCAGACUUAGCCUGACUUCCUCUUUUAUAGGAGGAGACAGACUUAGUUACAGAGGAAACCAGAGUUGUUAUAAAUAGCAAGGAAGGGAGAAACCUGCUAUGGAUUACAAACACGCCAUCAAUCUUAAAACAAACUAUUUUUAGUUUCAAAUAAUAACGAGAGUCUAAUUAAUGCUCUGUAUAACUUCAAAUGUGGGAUCUUUAUCUGCCUUUCUACUUUGUGAUGCUUUCUAAUACAGUAUUAGGGCCAAAGGCAGGAAGAGAUGUGGGCAAUUCUCAAUGUUACCAAAUCCUAGAUAUGGAAAGAACCUGAGAAAUUUAGUCCAGCCCUUUCAUUUUCAGUGAAGAAACUCAGGCCCAGAGAGGUAAAAGGACUUGUCCAAAGUUGCAUAGUAAGGUAGGGACUGAGCAGUGACUAAAAGCCUAGUCCCUGUACUCCAGAAGCAGGACAGUUUCCACAGCAGCACAAUAGAACCCAAAGGCUAAACAUCUGUGGUUGGGCAGUUGGUGAGUUUAUAGCCUGGAUAAAAGUCAGGUCUAAGCCAGGUGUGGAGGCUCACGCCUGUAAUCCCAGCACUUUGGGAGGCUAAGGCAGGUGAAUCACUUGAGGCCAGGAGUUUGAGACCAACCUGGCCAACAUGGCAAAACCUCAUCUCUACUAAAAAGUACAAAAAUUAGCCAGAUGUGACGGCACAUGCCUGUAAUCCCAGCUACUCAGGAGGCUGAGGCACGAGAAUCGGUUGAACCCGGGAGGUGGAGAUUUCAGUGAGCCGAGAUCGCACUACUGCACUUCAACCUGGGGGACAAAGCAAGACUCUGUCUC